UACGAAGGGGGCUAGCGUUGCUCGGAAUGACUGGGCGUAAAGGGCGCGUAGGCGGAUUGUACAGUCAGGCGUGAAAUUCCUGGGCUCAACCUGGGGGCUGCGUUUGAUACGUAUGGUCUUGAGUUCGGAAGAGGGUCGUGGAAUUCCCAGUGUAGAGGUGAAAUUCGUAGAUAUUGGGAAGAACACCGGUGGCGAAGGCGGCGACCUGGUCCGAUACUGACGCUGAGGAGCGAAAGCGUGGGGAGCGAACAGG
rnacentral:rRNA from 1 species